CUAGGGAAAAAACAAAACAGGGUUGAGCUUCUUCAAAUCAGGGGUGAAGCUUGAGGGCUCCCUGGGGGAGGUGACAUCUGUACAGAGUGACUGAGUCCACAUGGCUUGGGGGUGAGAUGGGGCCACUCGGCUCCUUGCCAAAGACCUGCCCUUUUGGAUCUUGCAUGGGAAAGGCUUCUCUGUAGGGAGCUGGGGGAAGGGCCAAGGCUCUGCUGGCCCUCUGGAGGGAGAUGUGGGGCACAGGGCAGGGCCUUCAGGACACCUCAUUCCUGGGAGUGUGCGUGUGGGGACGGGGAGGGAGUGGCCACCAAAGCUGUACUGCCUCCGGGUGGAUGGUCAGAAGAGGCAGCUGGACAGGGGAGGCUCCAGGAGCCGGCUGUCCCUCCUUCUGUCUGGGCUCUGGGCAGUUGGCCUCAGCCAGAGAUCGGGGAUGGGAAAGCAUCUCAUGCCAAGGCCCCAGAGUCAAGCCUGGAAUCAAGAGAAAGGCCAAGCUCCGGCCCCCCAGGUCGUCUUCGCCAAUGGGAACAGGAGUGGAGACGGACCCCGGGAGCUCCCGGCCAGGGGAUCAGGAUCCGACUGAGGCAGGAGCGGAGCAGGAGCUUCGGUGGGUGGAGCUGAGCUCAGAGGAGGCCCUGGGAGCCAGGGCCGAGGGGCCCAGCGCCGCACCAGCCGGGGGGCGCCUGCUGCAAGCCGUGUGGAGGGGUCACCCGGACCUGGUGACAAAGCUGCUGCGUCAGGGGGCCAGCGUGGAGGAGAGGGACCCCGCAGGCAGGACCCCGCUCCACCUGGCCGUGCUGCGCGGCCACGUGCCCCUGGUGCGUCUGCUGCUGCGGCGCGGGGCCGCCGUGGGCGCCGCCGACCGCGCGGGGCGCACGCCGCUGCACGAGGCCGCCUGGCACGGCCACUCGCGGGCGGCCGAGCUGCUGCUGCGCCGCGGGGCCCCGGCCGCGGCGCGCUCGGGGGCCGGCCUGACGCCGCUGCACUGCGCCGCCGCGCUGGGCCGCACGCUGCUGGCCGGCCGCCUGCUGGGCGCGCCGGGCCCGGGCCCCGCGGCGGCGGACGCGCGCGGCUGGACGGCGGCGCACUGGGCGGCGGCGGGCGGCCGGCUGCCGGUGCUGGAGCUGCUGCUGGCGGCGGGCGGCGCGGGCGCGGACGGCGCCCUGGUCGUGGCGGCGGCGGCGGGGCGCGCGGCGGCGCUGCGCCUGCUCCUGGCGCGCGGGGCGCGGGUGGACGCCCGGGACGGCGCGGGGGCCACGGCGCUCGGCAUCGCGGCGAGCCUGGGCCGCGGGCAGGACAUGGAGGUGCUGCUUGCCCACGGGGCAGACCCCAGCCUCAAGGACAGGCACAGUCGCUCUGCACUCCACAGGGCUGCUGCGGGGGGUCAUCUGCCCGCCGUCCAGCUGCUAGUGGCCUGGGGAGCCGAGGUGGACGCGAGAGACUCACUGGGCCUCACACCCCUGCACCAUGCUGCUCGGGGAGGCCAUGCCGAGGUUGCCAGCCACCUCCUAGACAGCGGGGCGCAGGUCAACGCUGCUGGAUGGCUCCACAAGACCCCCCUUCACCUUGCCGUGGAGCACGGCCACGGCCCCACCGCACAGCUUCUGCUGAGCCGAGGGGCUAGCCCCACCUUGAGGACACAGUGGGGUGAGGUGGUCCAGGACCUGGUGUCCGAGGGGGCCUGCCCCAGGCGCUGCCUACCCUUUGCAGAGAGUAGGAGUGGGGGUACAUAGGCCCAGAGGCCCUGAGCUGGGCAGAAGGCUCCAUGCUCCCACAGCCUUCAGAGUGCCAGGCUCCUCUCUUCUGGGCCAAGACUGCCUGCGUGGACAGAGGCGAGGACAGCUAGAGGUUCCUGGAAGAGGAGGCGGGCAGUGGCUUGACCUCCAGUGAUGGGCCGGGGACGGCUCCCCUGCCCCCUGGGGGCACAUCACCCCUGCAGCACGCUAGCUCAGAGACUGAGUUGUGGCAACAGAUUCGACUAAACCCUGACAGUGUCCCCUGUGUCCAUCAUGGGGUUGUCACUCUCCGCUGCUCUCUCUGUACAUGGGAAUGUUCUUCCUGUGUUUUGUUAGGUCCGGUAUUUGUCUGCUGACAUCCAUUUACUACAGGCCCAAAAUAAUGGCCAUGGUUGUUUCCAUCUCCCCUGUGAUCGAGCCUGCACUCAGAACUGCUGUCUUCCCUCUCCACACCCAGUUGAUAUUGCCCGUCCUAACUUAUCUAGGGUCAGGUACCAGCCAACUCGGGACAGGCCCGACGCACCCAGGACCACGGGAUUGCUCAACCAGCCAGUUCUAAACUGCCGCCCUGGCCCUGCCUUACCUUCCUUGUGGGAACUCCAGUAAAGGCUCUGGCCCAAGCUCUCCCCUUGCUCCUGUUCCCGCCUCCGGAGGACACCGGUGUCUCUCCCUGUGGCCCGAGGGGGCAUGGCGUGCCCUCGUCUCUCAGGAAAUGCGGGCUGCCACAGUAUUGCUGAAAUGAUGUUAUGCGGCCCUCCAGGGUGAGCCAAGGCGAUAAGACAUCCGCGUCACCUUUCCCUUCAGCCACCUUACAGGGAGUGACUUCCCUGAAGCUACCGUGCUGUGAGGAAUCCCACAUGCAGCAUGGCAGCCAGAACAUCAACGUCCUUACGUGACCAAGGUCCUACAUACACAUCGUCAUCAACUUACAUCUCUGGCCUUUAAUUUGCUGAGAUUCAGGGAUCCCUGGGAGUCUCAUUUGCCCCAUUCCCAUCACAUUGGUAGUUUUGCUGUUUUUGUUUGUUUGUUUAAGUUUUAAUUUAGUCUCUACAUCCAAAGUGGGGCCCAAACUCCUGUCCCUGAGAUCAAGAGUCACGUGCUCUACCAACUGAGCCAG